rnacentral:rRNA from 1 species
UUAAGCGACUAAGCGUACACGGUGGAUGCCCUGGCAGUCAGAGGCGAUGAAGGACGUGCUAAUCUGCGAAAAGCGCCGGCGAGGUGAUAUGAACCCUUGACCCGGCGAUGUCCGAAUGGGGAAACCCAGUGCAAUCCGUUGCACUAUCGUUAACUGAAUACAUAGGUUAACGAGGCGAACCGGGGGAACUGAAACAUCUAAGUACCCCGAGGAAAAGAAAUCAACCGAGAUUCCCCCAGUAGCGGCGAGCGAACGGGGAGCAGCCCGGAGUCUGAAUCAGCUUGUGUGUUAGUGGAACGGUCUGGAAAGUCCGACGGUACAGGGUGAUAGUCCCGUACACGAAAGCACACAUGCUGUGAACUCGAAGAGUAGGGCGGGACACGUGGUAUCCUGUCUGAAUAUGGGGGGACCAUCCUCCAAGGCUAAAUACUCCUGACUGACCGAUAGUGAACCAGUACCGUGAGGGAAAGGCGAAAAGAACCCCGGCGAGGGGAGUGAAAAAGAACCUGAAACCGUGUACGUACAAGCAGUGGGAGCCUCUUUAUGGGGUGACUGCGUACCUUUUGUAUAAUGGGUCAGCGACUUAUAUUCUGUAGCAAGGUUAACCGUAUAGGGGAGCCGAAGGGAAACCGAGUCUUAACUGGGCGUUAAGUUGCAGGGUAUAGACCCGAAACCCGGUGAUCUAGCCAUGGGCAGGUUGAAGGUUGGGUAACACUAACUGGAGGACCGAACCGACUAAUGUUGAAAAAUUAGCGGAUGACCUGUGGCUGGGGGUGAAAGGCCAAUCAAACCGGGAGAUAGCUGGUUCUCCCCGAAAGCUAUUUAGGUAGCGCCUCGUGAACUCAUCUUCGGGGGUAGAGCACUGUUUCGGCUAGGGGGCCAUCCCGGCUUACCAACCCGAUGCAAACUACGAAUACCGAAGAAUGUUAUCACGGGAGACACACGGCGGGUGCUAACGUCCGUCGUGAAGAGGGAAACAACCCAGACCGCCAGCUAAGGUCCCAAAGUCAUGGUUAAGUGGGAAACGAUGUGGGAAGGCACAGACAGCCAGGAUGUUGGCUUAGAAGCAGCCAUCAUUUAAAGAAAGCGUAAUAGCUCACUGGUCGAGUCGGCCUGCGCGGAAGAUGUAACGGGGCUAAACCAUGCACCGAAGCUGCGGCAGCGACACUAUGUGUUGUUGGGUAGGGGAGCGUUCUGUAAGCCGUUGAAGGUGUGCUGUGAGGCAUGCUGGAGGUAUCAGAAGUGCGAAUGCUGACAUAAGUAACGAUAAAGCGGGUGAAAAGCCCGCUCGCCGGAAGACCAAGGGUUCCUGUCCAACGUUAAUCGGGGCAGGGUGAGUCGACCCCUAAGGCGAGGCCGAAAGGCGUAGUCGAUGGGAAACAGGUUAAUAUUCCUGUACUUGGUGUUACUGCGAAGGGGGGACGGAGAAGGCUAUGUCAGCCGGGCGACGGUUGUCCCGGUUUAAGCAUGUAGGCGGAGGUUCCAGGUAAAUCCGGUACCUUGUUAACGCUGAGGUGUGAUGACGAGGCACUACGGUGCUGAAGUGAUAAAUGCCCUGCUUCCAGGAAAAGCCUCUAAGCAUCAGGUAACACGAAAUCGUACCCCAAACCGACACAGGUGGUCAGGUAGAGAAUACCAAGGCGCUUGAGAGAACUCGGGUGAAGGAACUAGGCAAAAUGGUGCCGUAACUUCGGGAGAAGGCACGCUGAUGUGUAGGUGAAGCCCCUGCGGGUGGAGCUGAAAUCAGUCGAAGAUACCAGCUGGCUGCAACUGUUUAUUAAAAACACAGCACUGUGCAAACACGAAAGUGGACGUAUACGGUGUGACGCCUGCCCGGUGCCGGAAGGUUAAUUGAUGGGGUUAGCGGCAACGCGAAGCUCUUGAUCGAAGCCCCGGUAAACGGCGGCCGUAACUAUAACGGUCCUAAGGUAGCGAAAUUCCUUGUCGGGUAAGUUCCGACCUGCACGAAUGGCGUAAUGAUGGCCAGGCUGUCUCCACCCGAGACUCAGUGAAAUUGAACUCGCUGUGAAGAUGCAGUGUACCCGCGGCAAGACGGAAAGACCCCGUGAACCUUUACUAUAGCUUGACACUGAACACUGGUCCUUGAUGUGUAGGAUAGGUGGGAGGCUUUGAAGCGUGGACGCCAGUCUGCGUGGAGCCAACCUUGAAAUACCACCCUUUAAUGGCUGGUGUUCUAACGUAGACCCGUAAUCCGGGUUGCGGACAGUGUCUGGUGGGUAGUUUGACUGGGGCGGUCUCCUCCCAAAGAGUAACGGAGGAGCACGAAGGUUGGCUAAUCCUGGUCGGACAUCAGGAGGUUAGUGCAAUGGCAUAAGCCAGCUUGACUGCGAGCGUGACGGCGCGAGCAGGUGCGAAAGCAGGUCAUAGUGAUCCGGUGGUUCUGAAUGGAAGGGCCAUCGCUCAACGGAUAAAAGGUACUCCGGGGAUAACAGGCUGAUACCGCCCAAGAGUUCAUAUCGACGGCGGUGUUUGGCACCUCGAUGUCGGCUCAUCACAUCCUGGGGCUGAAGUAGGUCCCAAGGGUAUGGCUGUUCGCCAUUUAAAGUGGUACGCGAGCUGGGUUUAGAACGUCGUGAGACAGUUCGGUCCCUAUCUGCCGUGGGCGCUGGAGAAUUGAGGGGGGCUGCUCCUAGUACGAGAGGACCGGAGUGGACGCAUCACUGGUGUUCGGGUUGUCAUGCCAAUGGCACUGCCCGGUAGCUAAAUGCGGAAGAGAUAAGUGCUGAAAGCAUCUAAGCACGAAACUUGCCCCGAGAUGAGUUCUCCCUGAGACUUUAAGUCUCCUGAAGGAACGUUGAAGACGACGACGUUGAUAGGUCGGGUGUGUAAGCGCAGCGAUGCGUUGAGCUAACCGAUACUAAUGAACCGUGAGGCUUAACCUU